UCACGAUCUAUCUGCCCUGGAAUUUUCAGAUGAAUCAGAUAAUCGGUUGUUAGGUUUCUGCCCCUGAAUUGGUAAUUUUGAGGAAAUUUUGCUGUUUUUUGUUAUCUUGAAUAUUAUUAUAGAUAGAGAUAAACUGUAAACAGCAAUAAUGUACAGCAAAAGUAGAACUGAAAAUAAGUCACUAUGACCAAAAUAGUCAAUUGACCCC
rnacentral:lncRNA from 1 species